GGUUUGUCAUGCGUGGGUGCUGUUUUUGUGAUGUUGGGGUUCAGUUGACUCUCGGAUAUCUCCAUUGUGUGUUAACCGUGUUGAUUCUGUGUACAUCGAUGAUUUUGAUCCUUGUUAUACCUAAAUGCUUAUUUUAUGUUGCAGACGAUUUUCUUUAAUGAAAGAUUCAAUUUUUUGAUUUUUUCUUGUAUUCCGAUGCCUGAAGAAGGCCCAAUAAAGGUGCCGAAACGUCGCUGAAGGAAUA